CCCUGCCAUCACUCUCUCCCCUCCGCCACCUCGCCGUCGCCGUCGCCGUCGCCGUCGCCGUCGCCGUCGUAUCCCUUUCUCGUGCCGUCACCCCUCGUCUUCGAGCCCCCCUGCCAUCGCCUGCGCCGAUCGUUUCGCGUCCCAUCUCGGUCUCUCUCUCUCUCUCUCCCCGUGUUUCCUCUUCGAAGCAAUUAUUUUGUCAAUCUGAAGGGCUUUUUCACUAAUGAAGGAAGGCCGCAUGUAACUUAUAGGCAAACGCAGCGAAAGUGAGAGAGAUCUCUCUCCGUUGCUUUAUCAAGUUACUACGAGGAUCAGACUCGGACUUCCCAAGUCACCGGGCUGACCCAAUUCGGAGAUCCAUCUCUGCAUCGUCCUUCCAGAAUGAAGAGAAAGAGGGAGGAAAAAGAGACGGCGACGGCAGCUGGCACAGGCCGCAGCCGUGACGGCGGAUCGGGGAGGGUUACGAGGUGUUCCUGAAUUUAGGGCUUUUGCUUCCGCUAGGCUGAAGGCUGCAGCAACACAAGCUGGUCGAGAUGAAACUCCUGGCUCAACAAAGGGAUCUUCGGGUGUGAUGUUGUAUUCUGUUCUGUCAGUUUGGCGUAAUCGCUGGCUUUCUCUAAUUCGUAUUUUUUGCUGGCAAAGGUUUCCUGACUUUAUCGAUGCUAGUUUUGGGAUUUGUUAUUAUCGACAUCCCUACAGAUAUUUGUGUAUAAUUUCUCAUUGACUGAUUCUUUUGUAUCGCUAUAUCUGCUCUUGAAUUCGCUGUUGAGUUACA